GGUCCAAUUGUGGAGUGGACCACGCUUGCAUUCCCUGACAGUUGUUCAUAAUAUGCAGCAGACGCCCGUUCGAUUCGGGCUUGGACCG